rnacentral:lncRNA from 1 species
CCGAUCUUCAGCAGCCCCUGCUAUGCGCCCGAGUCUUGGGACGUCAUCCCGGAGCUCCUAGCCUGCCCGGGAGGCAGAGCCAUCAGGUCAGCAGGAGCCCUGAAGCCUGAAGCCAAGCCAUGACCAGGCCUCCUGGUCCCAGUGGCCUCCCCAAAUGACCCAGUCCACAGUUGGGCUUCCUAACUCCACAGAGUGGUGACCUCAAGCCUGGAGCCUCACAGAGACCUUGAGGGCUGCCUCCCACCCCCUCCCUCUCUUACCCUGGUUUCCCUGCAAGCUCCCCUUCCGUACCCUUUGUUCCUGUUCACUCCAGGAUCUUGUAGGAGAGCCAGAACACCUGCUGCUGCUAAAAAGGGAAGUUUUACAAUCGUGG